GAUGAAGAACGUAGCGAACUGCGAUAAGUAAUGUGAAUUGCAGAAUUCAGUGAAUCAUCGAGUCUUUGAACGCACAUUGCGCCCCCUGGCAUUCCGGGGGGCAUGCCUGUCCGAGCGUCAUUGCUGCCCUUCAAGCCCGGCUUGUGUGUUGGGUCGUCGUCCCCCCCGGGGGACGGGCCCGAAAGCAGCGGCGGCACCGCGUCCGGUCCUCGAGCGUAUGGGGCUUUGUCACCCGCUCGAUUAGGGCCGGCCGGGCGCCAGCCGGCGUCUCCAACCUUCUAUUUUACCAGGUUGACCUCGGAUCAGGUAGGGAUACCCGCUGAACUUAAGCAUAUCAAUAAGCGGAGGA
rnacentral:misc_RNA from 1 species